CCUACGGGAGGCAGCAGUGGGGAAUAUUGGGCAAUGGGCGCAAGCCUGACCCAGCAACGCCGCGUGCAGGAAGAAGGCUUUCGGGUUGUAAACUUCUUUUAAGAGGGAAGAGCAGAAGACGGUACCUCUUGAAUAAGCCACGGCUAACUACGUGCCAGCAGCCGCGGUAAUACGUAGGUGGCAAGCGUUGUCCGGAUUUACUGGGUGGAAAGGGCGUGUAGCCGGGCUGACAAGUCAGAUGUGAAAUCCGGGGGCUCAACCCCCGAACUGCAUUUGAAAAGGUUGGUCUUGAGUAUCGGAGAGGCAGGCGGAAUUCCUAGGGUAGCGGUGAAAUGCGUAGAUAUUAGGAGGAACACCAGUGGCGAAGGCGGCCUGCUGGACGACAACUGACGGUGAGGCGCGAAAGCGUGGGGAGCAAACAGGAGUAGAUACCCUUGUAGUC
rnacentral:rRNA from 1 species